rnacentral:rRNA from 1 species
AUUGAACGCUGGCGGCAUGCUUUACACAUGCAAGUCGAACGGUAACAGGUUAAGCUGACGAGUGGCGAACGGGUGAGUAAUGCAUCGGAACGUGCCCGGUCGGGGGGGAUAACGCAGCGAAAGCUGCGCUAAUACCGCAUACGAUCUGAGGAUGAAAGCGGGGGACCGUAAGGCCUCGCGCGAUCGGAGCGGCCGAUGUCAGAUUAGGUAGUUGGCGGGGUAAAGGCUCACCAAGCCAACGAUCUGUAGCUGGUCUGAGAGGACGAGCAGCCACACUGGGACUGAGAAACGGCCCAGACUCCUACGGGAGGCAGCAGUGGGGAAUUUUGGACAAUGGGCGAAAGCCUGAUCCAGCAAUGCCGCGUGCAGGAAGAGGGCCUUCGGGUCGUAAGCUGCUUUUGUACGGAGCGAAAAGGUCUCCUCUAAUACAGGGGGCUCAUGACGGUACCGUAAGAAUAAGCACCGGCUAACUACGUGCCAGCCGCCGCCGUAA